rnacentral:rRNA from 1 species
AUUGAACGCUGGCGGCAUGCCUUACACAUGCAAGUCGAACGGCAGCACAGGUGCUUGCACCUGGUGGCGAGUGGCGAACGGGUGAGUAAUACAUCGGAACGUACCUCAUCGUGGGGGAUAACGCAGCGAAAGCUGUGCUAAUACCGCAUACGCCCUGAGGGGGAAAGCGGGGGAUCGCAAGACCUCGCGCGAUUAGAGCGGCCGAUGCCUGAUUAGCUUGUUGGUGGGGUAAAAGCCCACCAAGGCGACGAUCAGUAGCUGGUCUGAGAGGACGAUCAGCCACACUGGGACUGAGACACGGCCCAGACUCCUACGGGAGGCAGCAGUGGGGAAUUUUGGACAAUGGGGGCAACCCCGAUCCAGCAAUGCCGCGUGAGUGAAGGAGGCCUUCGGGUUGUAAAGCUCUUUUGUCAGGGAAGAAACACCGGCUCUAACACAGUCCGGGAAUGACGGUACCUGAAGAAUAAGCACCGGCUAACUACGUGCCAGCAGCCGCGGUAA